CGCCUUAUACUCCUACGGGAGGCAGCAGUGGGGAAUUUUGGACAAUGGGAGCAACCCUGAUCCAGCAAUGCCGCGUGAGUGAAGAAGGCCUUCGGGUUAUAAAGCUCUUUUGUCAGGGAAGAAACGGUAGUAGCUAAUAUCUAUUACUAAUGACGGUACCUGAAGAAUAAGCACCGGCUAACUACGUGCCAGCAGCCGCGGUAAUACGUAGGGUGCAAGCGUUAAUCGGAAUUACUGGGCGUAAAGCGUGCGCAGGCGGUUGUGUAAGUCAGAUGUGAAAUCCCCGGGCUCAACCUGGGAAUUGCAUUUGAGACUGCACGGCUCGAGUGUGUCAGAGGGGGGUAGAAUUCUACGUGUAGCAGUGACAUGCGUAGAUAUGUGGAGUAAUACCGAUGGCGAAGGCAGCCCCCUGGGAUAACACUGACGAUCAUGCACGUAAGCGUGGGGAGCAAACAGGAUUAGAAACCCCUGUAGGCACGUACCA
rnacentral:rRNA from 1 species